AGAAGAAGGGAGAUAAAUUUUGAGACACACCAUUCUUAAGAGAAAUAUUCGACACAAGAAAAGGAAGAAAACACUAUAUUUUUUAGAGUAGCAAGAGAAGUAGAAACUUGAGAGCAUCAAGAGUGAAUAAAAAAUCAUGGACAACCCACGAAGGGAGGAAAAGGCCCAAACUGUCCACCUAAGGGCAAAACCAUCCAAAAGACCUUUUCUUCACCUUCCUCAACCAUGUUCCUUGAAUCAAGGAACCAUGAGGAAAUCAAGGGGACAACACAAGAAUGGGAGGAAAUCAAGGGACGACACGACAUACAUGGAGAAAAUCAA